rnacentral:rRNA from 1 species
CAGUCGCCACGGUAAUACGUAGGUGGCAAGCGUUAUCCGGAAUUAUUGGGCGUAAAGCGCGCGUAGGCGGUUUUUUAAGUCUGAUGUGAAAGCCCACGGCUCAACCGUGGAGGGUCAUUGGAAACUGGAAAACUUGAGUGCAGAAGAGGAAAGUGGAAUUCCAUGUGUAGCGGUGAAAUGCGCAGAGAUAUGGAGGAACACCAGUGGCGAAGGCGACUUUCUGGUCUGUAACUGACGCUGAUGUGCGAAAGCGUGGGGAUCAAACAGGAUUAGAGACCCCUGUAGUCCCUGUCUCUUAUAC